CGAUGUUCCCACGAGUUCGCAUGUUCUUGUGGGCAAAGGCCUUUGCCGGAUAGGGAUGGGGAUGCGUUCCAUUAGGCAGUCGGCGGGGUAACGGCCCACCGAGCCAUCGAUGGAUAGGGGUUCUGAGAGGAAGGCCCCCCACACUGGGACUGAGACACGGCCCAGACUCCUACGGGAGGCAGCAGUGAGGAAUAUUGGUCAAUGGCGGCAACGCUGAACCAGCCAAGUAGCGUGAGGGAUUACGGCCCUAUGGGUUUUAAACCUCUUUUGUUGGGGAGCAACCUGUGCCACUUGUGGCACACUGCGAGUACCCUUCGAAUAAGCAUCGGCUAACUCCGUGCCAGCAGCCGCGGUAAUACGGAGGAUGCGAGCGUUAUCCGGAUUUAUUGGGUUUAAAGGGAGCGCGGACUGGAGAUUAAGUCAGCUGUUAAAUGGCGGCGCCCAACGUCGUCCUGCGGUUGAUACUGGUUUCCUUGAGUGCGGCAUGGGCAUGCGGAAUUCACGGUGUAGCGGUGAAAUGCUUAGAUAUCGUGAAGAACUCCGAUCGCGAAGGCAGCGUGCCGGACCGUUACUGACGUUU
rnacentral:rRNA from 1 species